rnacentral:rRNA from 1 species
GUGGGGAAUCUUGCGCAAUGGGCGAAAGCCUGACGCAGCCAUGCCGCGUGAAUGAUGAAGGUCUUAGGAUUGUAAAAUUCUUUCACCGGGGACGAUAAUGACGGUACCCGGAGAAGAAGCCCCGGCUAACUUCGUGCCAGCAGCCGCGGUAAUACGAAGGGGGCUAGCGUUGCUCGGAAUUACUGGGCGUAAAGGGCGCGUAGGCGGACAGUUUAGUCAGAGGUGAAAGCCCAGGGCUCAACCUUGGAAUUGCCUUUGAUACUGGCUGUCUUGAGUACGGGAGAGGUGAGUGGAACUCCGAGUGUAGAGGUGGAAUUCGUAGAUAUUAGGAAGAACACCAGUGGCGAAGGCGGCUCACUGGUCCGGUACUGACGCUGAGGUGCGAAAGCGUGGGGAGCAAACAGGAUUAGAAACCCGGGUAGUCC